CGUCAGUUCGUGCCGUGAGGUGUUUGGUUAAGUCCAGCAACGAAACGCAACCCCUGUGUCCGGUUGCCAGCGGGCAAUGCCGGGAACUCAGGACAGACUGCCCGUUCACACGGGAGGAAGGUGGGGACGACGUCAAGUCAGUAUGGCCCUUACAUCCGGGGCUGCACACGUGCUACAAUGGCCGGUACAAAGGGAGGCAAAGCCGCGAGGUGGAGCAAACCCCCAGAACCGGCCCCAGUUCAGAUUGCGGUCUGCAACCCGACCGC
rnacentral:rRNA from 1 species